GAUGAACGCUAGCUACAGGCUUAACACAUGCAAGUCGAGGGGCAGCAUGGUCUUAGCUUGCUAAGGCCGAUGGCGACCGGCGCACGGGUGAGUAACACGUAUCCAACCUGCCGUCUACUCUUGGACAGCCUUCUGAAAGGAAGAUUAAUACAAGAUGGCAUCAUGAGUCCACAUGUUCACAUGAUUAAAGGUAUUCCGGUAGACGAUGGGGAUGCGUUCCAUUAGAUAGUAGGCGGGGUAACGGCCCACCUAGUCUUCGAUGGAUAGGGGUUCUGAGAGGAAGGUCCCCCACAUUGGAACUGAGACACGGUCCAAACUCCUACGGGAGGCAGCAGUGAGGAAUAUUGGUCAAUGGGCGAGAGCCUGAACCAGCCAAGUAGCGUGAAGGAUGACUGCCCUAUGGGUUGUAAACUUCUUUUAUAAAGGAAUAAAGUCGGGUAUGCAUACCCGUUUGCAUGUACUUUAUGAAUAAGGAUCGGCUAACUCCGUGCCAGCAGCCGCGGUAAUACGGAGGAUCCGAGCGUUAUCCGGAUUUAUUGGGUUUAAAGGGAGCGUAGAUGGAUGUUUAAGUCAGUUGUGAAAGUUUGCGGCUCAACCGUAAAAUUGCAGUUGAUACUGGAUAUCUUGAGUGCAGUUGAGGCAGGCGGAAUUCGUGGUGUAGCGGUGAAAUGCUUAGAUAUCACGAAGAACUCCGAUUGCGAAGGCAGCCUGCUAAGCUGCAACUGACAUUGAGGCUCGAAAGUGUGGGUAUCAAACAGG
rnacentral:rRNA from 1 species